GAGGUGAGAUCUCCAUUCUUUGAUAAAUUUGGGUUGCAAAUUUCAUUAGCACAUGACAAAUCAUAGUAGCGUCAAUGCCCAUUUUCUUAUUUGGUUUUGCAGGUUCACGUUGUCCCUGCCCAUAUGUUCAGAAAGGUCAUUAACAUUACCAAAUCUUGGAUAUAGAGGGGUGGGGUGCUGCAGAGAUUAACCUGCACGUUGGCUUCCAGUCUUCCACGCGCAGUCGGUUGGCAUCCUCCCCUGUGUCGUUCACCUCACCUCCUCGAGGUUUCUCUUGUGGUCGCCUUCGGCCUCGACAACCUAUGAGGGCGCCUCUUCCUGCGAUGGGGCGGCGGCGGCAGGCCCGGAUACAUCGUCUUCCUGCACGGCAGCGACGCACAUGCUCAGCCUCUCCUCUUCUUCUUCUUCGAUUUGACCAUCU
rnacentral:lncRNA from 1 species